rnacentral:rRNA from 1 species
UAGGGAAUAUUGGACAAUGGGUGAGAGCCUGAUCCAGCCAUGCCGCGUGCAGGAAGAAGGCGUUAUGCGUUGUAAACUGCUUUUGCCAGGGGAUAAAAAGACCGUGCGCGGUUAAUUGAAGGUACCUGGUGAAUAAGCCACGGCUAACUACGUGCCAGCAGCCGCGGUAAUAUGUAGGUGGCAAGCGUUGUCCGGAUUUAUUGGGUUUAAAGGGUGCGUAGGUGGCCCUGUAAGUCAGUGGUGAAAUAUCUCAGCUUAACUGAGAGGGUGCCAUUGAUACUGCAGGGCUUGAGUACAGAUGAGGUAGGCGGAAUUGACGGUGUAGCGGUGAAAUGCAUAGAUAUCGUCAAGAACACCGAUAGCGAAGGCAGCUUACCAAGCUGUAACUGACACUGAGGCACGAAAGUGUAGGGGAUCAAACAGGAUUAGAUACCCCGGUAGUCCCUGAGCGGGCUGGCAAGGCGCAU